rnacentral:lncRNA from 1 species
CUGAAUCAUAUAUGGGGGAAACCACUUCUCAGGCAGCCAGCUGGUUCUCAGGUCAGCAAGAGACGAUCCAUUUUUAUCGGAAGCUUUAUAGUAGCAAUAAUGCUAAUACCCAGCACUCGGGCUCCACAAUGUAGAGGAAAUGGCAUCGCCUGGCAGUGACAGCUAUAUUGUGCGUGUCAAGGCUGUGGUUAUGACCAGAGAUGACUCCAGCGGGGGAUGGUUCCCACAGGAAGGAGGCGGGAUCAGUCGCGUCGGGGUCUGUAAGGUCAUGCACCCCGAAGGCAAUGGACGAAGCGGCUUUCUCAUCCAUGGUGAACGACAGAAAGACAAACUGCUUCAAAAGUUAGAACCCCGGAGCUGGUGCCAAAUUGUAAAACGUGACUGUCCUUUCCAGCAAAGUCUCUUUUGACCACACGCUUUAUCCGAGAUGCUUAGAAGUAUAUUUGGCUGUUUUAUUUGCAUCUUUGAUUAAGAUGUCUAUCAUUGUAAAAAGGUAUUCAAAACAAAAGUGUACUCUUUUAUUAUUAUGAAUCACAUUGUACUGAGCUGUGAAGUCAGUGUUUUAAAAAUGUAGAGUUUAUUCAUGGAGCAUGCCAUUGAGGUUUGGAUGGUGGCAGGUAAAACAGAAAGGCAAGAUGUCAUCUGACAUUAGGCUACUUAUAAAUAAAUGUUUAUCUAGCUUUUAUUUCAUGCCCUAAUGAAUAAAACAUGCUUGGAAAAAGAAAGUAACAAG